rnacentral:rRNA from 1 species
AGAGUUUGAUCAUGGCUCAGAUUAAACGCUGGCGGCAUGCUUAAUACAUGCAAGUCGAACGAUUAAUCCUUAUUUUAUAAAGAUUAAUAAGUGGCGGACGGGUGAGUAAUACAUAGGAAUUUACCUAAUAGUGGGGGAUAACUUGGGGAAACUCAAGCUAAUACCACAUAUCUCCUUUUGGAGAAAGAAUGCCUCUGCUUGCAAGCUUUUGCUAUUAGAGAAGCCUAUGUCAGAUUAGUUAGUUGGUAAGGUAAUGGCUUACCAAGACCACGAUCUGUAGUUGGUCUGAGAGGACGAUCAGCCACACUGGGACUGAGACACGGCCCAGACUCCUACGGGAGGCAGCAGUAAGGAAUAUUGGACAAUGAGCGAAAGCUUGAUCCAGCAAUGCCGCGUGUGUGAAGAAGGCCUGCGGGUUGUAAAGCACUUUCAGUUGGGAAGAGGAUAUGAAAAGAUUUAAUAGUCUUUAAAAUUAUGACGUUACCAACAAAAGAAGCACCGGCUAACUCUGUGCCAGCAGCCGCGGUAAUACAGAGGGUGCAAGCGUUAAUCGGAAUUACUGGGCGUAAAGGGUGCGUAGGCGGUCAUGUUAGUCGGAUGUGAAAGCCCAAGGCUUAA